AGAAGCUUGCUUCUUUGCUGACGAGUGGCGGACGGGUGAGUAAUGUCUGGGAAACUGCCUGAUGGAGGGGGAUAACUACUGGAAACGGUAGCUAAUACCGCAUAACGUCGCAAGACCAAAGAGGGGGACCUUCGGGCCUCUUGCCAUCGGAUGUGCCCAGAUGGGAUUAGCUAGUAGGUGGGGUAACGGCUCACCUAGGCGACGAUCCCUAGCUGGUCUGAGAGGAUGACCAGCCACACUGGAACUGAGACACGGUCCAGACUCCUACGGGAGGCAGCAGUGGGGAAUAUUGCACAAUGGGCGCAAGCCUGAUGCAGCCAUGCCGCGUGUAUGAAGAAGGCCUUCGGGUUGUAAAGUACUUUCAGCGGGGAGGAAGGGAGUAAAGUUAAUAC
rnacentral:rRNA from 1 species